ensembl:lncRNA
CACGCACGCACACACACCAGCACAGAGGAGCCUUCAGGAGCGGCUUACCCCUCACAGAUGACAAACCACACCAGUCACUGGGAAGCUUGAAGUCAACCGUAAGCACAGUGUGGUGAUGAGUGAGAACCAUCUUAAGCUGACAUCUUGGCCACCUCCCAGAUCUGGGCCUCAUGCACUCAUCCUAGGGGUGAGUGGUUUUCUGGGACUUCUGAUGACGUUCAACUUUGCAAAAACGAUGAACUCCUCCUCGGAGCAAAGCUCACGGCUCAGGUGGUAAAGGAAAAAUACCAUCUUGAAUGGCUCCUUGAAGAGCAGAAGACUCCAGUUCACUGUUACGUGAUCCUCUAGGACAGCUGUUUCCUCAGCAAUUCACAGGAAAGAUUUCACCAGCUCAUUUGUGUUCUCCAUUCCACUGUCUGCGUUCAUUGUGUUAUUUUUGAAUGCACAGUCCAGGGUUGCUUUGGCGUUAUUUACGCAACCCUUGGGGAGUCUGAUCAAAAUCCAAGUCCCUGAGGAAGACUUAAUGAUAAGGUUUAGGGGGUUCUUUUCUACUGAAGUUCAGCGCCUCUUCCCCACACUGCUUUGCUCUUGACUGAUAGUAGGCUGGUCAGUGCAAAGACAGGGAACGCAGCCAGGGUGGUCACUAAAGCCAGACUGAACUCUGUGGCAACAAAUGCCCAGCAAACAGCAAAUUGCCUGAGAGAAAGCUCUCCCACUGACAUUUAUGGGGAAUUUCUUCAUGGAUCAUCAGAUGAAAUUGUUUAGUUAAGCCCUUCCCUUCUCUUUCUUUGUUUUUUCCCUUGGUUCUGACACUUGGAAAAUGCAUCUGGAUUUUCUAAGGAUGUCACUGUUUGGGUUAUGAUAUUUGGGUCAAUGCUCACCUACUGUUUACACAGAAUAAAAGGUUCUACUUCUGGGGUAAGCAAAUUACAAAGUCCUGGAUGCAACCCAUUUGCCAAGAUACACAAUUAGAAGAGAUGGGCUUACAAGCCUAGCCUGUCCAGAAGUCCUCUUUACACCAGCUCUGGGACAUCACUCCUUUAGCUGUAGCCUGCUCCAGGAACUGCUCCUGUGGCUCAAAACAUCCAGGGUAAAGACCCUUGCUCCUUCCCCUGAGCCUUCUUCCCUGCCUAGUGCUGGCUAAUGCUGUUGUGCUACUACAAGUGCGGAAGUCAUCUGCUUCAUGCCAAGCAGUACGUUGACAGAUUUCCUUUCAGGUGCUUGAUGAACUCAUGGCUGGCUUAAAGCAUAUGGCAAGUUUUACUCUUCCUAAUUGCCAUGCCCUUCUAUAAUGAAAAGAGCGGUAGGGAAAUUACCAUUGCUCAGAUGACUCAGGAAACCAGUAAUGAGAAGUAGAAUCUCUCACUACGGUGUUACCAGAUCACAAGUGAGUUAGGUGUGUUUUCAUGACCGGAAUGAGCCAAUCCAAGUCAGAUUUUUUUGCCAAGAUAUGUAACAUUGCUUUUCUGCCCCUGCCCAUGAGUUCCCUUCCCCCCUCCUGUGCUAGCUGUAGGGCUCACACAUCUGGGAGACCAAGUGCUCGAGGCUGAUCCAGCUAAACACUCCAGUCAGCAGAAAACAGGAAAAAAGGGAAGAGUUCCCUCAUCUGAGUGCUCAACUGCACAAUCUCCAAGGUGCAGAGGUGAUGAGGUGGGAAUGAAUGAUGGAGGGCUGAGUCACCACUUGCAGAGGUAGUACUGAAUUAGAUUGCCUUAAGCCAACGAUGAAAGCAGAGAAAAAUAAAUCAACAAAACCAAUAUAUUUUUCAUCUAGGAAUUAAAAGUCUAUCCAUUUGUCAUCAUUACACUGUCUGAAGUCUUUAUAGUAAUUACUACAAACCUAAACGAUGGGACUCAUCUCUACUCAUUUAUCUAGCUAGUUUAAGCUAGUUUCUCAGAUCUGUCUGCUUCACAGAUCCCUCCAGUCAACAGAGAGAGAAGCUUCCAGAGGAGGAUGCAUCUUAUCCAAACACAGACAUUUAAGGAGUCUCAACCAUCCUCCAAAGAUGCUCUUGAGUUUAGUGAAAACUUGAGAUCUGUCUCCAGAGUAGCUGCAUUUUACAUCCCAUCUUGUUCUUGCCUGGAUCAGAAAUCCCUACACUACAGGAACCAGGCUGAACAGUGCAAGUGCUUUCCUAUUGAUAUAUUCUCAAUGAAAGCAAAGUGCUCUUCUCCAUCCCUCCUGUGCUGGGACUGCACGUGCAAGGGGCCAGAUAAUUUCUUCAGUGUGUUUUGGAUCAGGCUUGUUAGGCCAGCAGCAGGUUCACAAAGGUAGGCUCUGUGACAUCAUAGGGAUCAUCCCAAAAAGAAGCUGACAUCAUAAAUGACAAAGCACUAGACAGAAGAAAAGUGCCCAGCUUUCUGAGCUCCAUGUGGGGAAAUGAGGCAGAAGUAUAUCCUUCCAAAGAACAAUUGAUCUGGGGGAUGGGAGGAGGAGAUAUGAUUUCAUUAAUAGUUGUUAACAGCAGCUUUCCCUCCGGAAGUUUUUUCUGCUAUCUUAAGGCAAGGUCUAUGCGUGUAUAACUUAAAAGAUCUGGUAUAGAGAUUUUGAUCAUAAUGACUUAAUUAAAUGGGGUGUUUUAGGAGCUUAAUAUUACAUUGUUGCUGAUGGCUGGCUGAUUGUUUUACUUGCCUUUGAUCAACUGUGUGAGUGGAGGGUCAUCCCAAUCACCAUGGGCCUACAGUAUCUGUCAUCACCCCUCCUUCCUAUUUGUCUUGCGUGUGUAUGCAGAAGGCCUGCUUUUGAUGAACUGUGAAAAGAAAGAUGAACUGUUGUAAUGAAAACAUUCCCUCCCCAAGAUCCUCUUUAGACAACGUUCAAUUGGUUUGACCUUGUACCCCCUUGCAGAGGACGGUAAUGAUUCCUGCAGAUGGCUGGGUCAUUCCUUGGACACUUGGGAUCAAGGGAGCCAGAUUCUCCAUGCCCAUUAA